UUGGCAUUUGCUGGUGGUUCGUUGAAUGUCCCGCCCCGUCGCUGGCCGCUUCUCGCCUCGCCUCCUCCUUUCGCUCUGAAUCAAGCAAUGGGUUGGGGAAGCAGCUGCACGGCCCCGCGGUCGUCGCAUCACCGGCCCCGAGGCCGUCCGAGGCUCCGGCUCGCGUCCUUCCUCUGCGCGGAGCGGCCACCGCCGUCGCUCCCUCCUCCACCGACUCUCGUCAGAUCAAGUGCUUUUACAGAAGUUCCAAUAAAAGUUAAUUCUCAGAAGAGUGCAUUGGAUUGAAAACCAACAAAUUGCCCGCAAAAGAAUGCAAUCAGGUAGAAGCUCCACUAGCAUGCUCAAGAGGAGAUUGUCCUGAAGCAUGUUUCGGUAAUGUUUUAGCUCAGUAUAGCCACCAAACUUAAUGGAGCUACAGGAGCACCAACUUGUAGAUUGUACUGAAGCUCUUGAUCAGGAAAACCAUGAGGUGACGAAAAUAAAUGUCUGACAUAAAGAUGGACUGAAGAUAUAACUCCAGGGCAUGUUCAGACUUCGGAUCGGGCCUUGGCUAGAUGGCAAAGACUGAAGCAUCCAACAUAAUUUUUAUGCUUUAGGGCAGUUCCCUCCACAUGGGACAGCCAUGCUCAUAUCCAUCAGCUUCAGCAGACACCUAAACCUCAAUAAUUCUCCCACUUGGAGUUGAUGGCUAUCAUUUCAGAAUGGGGACAUACUUUACCACUGACAAUACACCAUCUCAAUUAUUUCUUCAUGCUCACCUGUCUGUGUCAGUCUCAGGUGGUCAUUUACAUAUGGCCACCUAACAACAAGAACUCUCUGAGUUAAUCUCAUUAUUCCAAGUUAACAACUUUGGCCUAUGAUGAUCUUGUUGGCUUACAAUUUGCUCUUUGGAGAGAUUUCUUGCAGAUGUUAAUAACAAAUUAUUUAGUUUAUGACAGUCAAGACUGUGGCCUAGAAAGAGAAGAUAAUAUUUCAAGUUUGGUGAUCAAAGUGGG